rnacentral:rRNA from 1 species
GUAGUCAUAUGCUUGUCUCAAAGAUUAAGCCAUGCAUGUCUAAGUACAUACUUUUGCACGGUGAAACCGCGAAUGGCUCAUUAAAUCAGUUAUGGUUCCUUAGAUCGUUCAUAUUACAUGGAUAACUGUGGUAAUUCUAGAGCUAAUACAUGCAAAAAGCUCCGACCGUAUGGGAAGAGCGCUUUUAUUAGACCAAAACCAAUGGGAUCGCAAGAUCCCUUUGUCUGGUGACUCUGGAUAACUUUGUGCUGAUCGCAUGGCCUAGAGCCGGCGACGUAUCUUUCAAGUGUCUGCCCUAUCAACUUUCGAUGGUAAGCGAUUUGCCUACCAUGGUUGCAACGGGUAACGGGGAAU